GAUCCUGGCUCAGGACGAACGCUGGCGGCGUGCUUAACACAUGCAAGUCGAACGAGAAUCUACUGAAAGAGUUUUCGGACAAUGGAUGUAGAGGAAAGUGGCGGACGGGUGAGUAACGCGUGAGGAACCUGCCUUGAAGAGGGGGACAACAGUUGGAAACGACUGCUAAUACCGCAUGAUGCAUAGGGGUCGCAUGAUCUUUAUGCCAAAGAUUUAUCGCUUCAAGAUGGCCUCGCG
rnacentral:rRNA from 1 species